rnacentral:rRNA from 1 species
CCUACGGGAGUCAGCAGUAGGGGAUAUUGCUCAAUGGGGGAAACCCUGCAGCAGCAACGCCGCGUGGAGGAUGAAGGUUUUCGGAUUGUAAACUCCUUUUGUUAGGGAAGAUAAUGACGGUACCUGCAAAGGAAGCACCGGCUAACUCCGUGCCAGCAGCCGCGGUAAUACGGAGGGUGCGAGCGUUAAUCGGAAUUACUGGGCGUAAAGCGCUCGUAGGCGGUAUGUCAAGUCAAGGGUGAAAUCCCCGCGCUCAACGUGGGAACUGCCUUUGAAACUGGCAAACUGGAGUGUGUGAGAGGAUAGUGGAAUUCCAGGUGUAGGAGUGAAAUCCGUAGAUAUCUGGAGGAACAUCAGUGGCGAAGGCGACUAUCUGGCACAUAACUGACGCUGAGGAGCGAAAGCGUGGGUAGCAAACAGGAUGAGAUACCCCAGUAGUC